ACGCACCACACGGGUGCCUAAUUCUAAUUGGUUGUGGCGCUCGCUGGUUGCCUGUGUAUAUAAGGGGCCCUCCCUCACCGGGUUGACAUUGCAUUGUUCUCCUUCCGGUUCAGACCUCUGCGUUUGUUGGUGCUGCACGCCAGCUGCAAAUGAAUGCAUGCACUUAAACAAUGCGCUUAACGGCAUACUGAUUGUGGACCAAUCGUCCUUCGGACUGCCAGUACAAGCUUCCCACGCUUUCCUCCCUGUAAGAGGCACUACUUAAAGAGCUCAGUGGAACGGUCAGCUCGUGGUGUUGGUGGUGGACUUCUGGGUGGUGGUUCCUCUUCUGGUUUGGUGCAUGAUUUUCUUUUGCUUUGCCUAGUUCUGUUUGCUGUGUUUAUUUUUUUUCUUUUUUGUACCCUACCCUGAAUUUCACUCCUCACAGAGUUACGCUUGAAAAAAUUUUUAAAUGUGAGGUUUUAAUUUAGUCUUUUUGAAUUAAACUAAAAGUUGUAUAAUAAAAGAGUUGAAUGGUGAGAUUGUCUCAAGCCUCAUCUGUAGCGGGUCUGUGUGCCUUAAUGGUAACAUUUUAAGCGGAGUCAUUAAAAUCUAUUAAAUCUUUUCUUACCUGGUGUUUCUAAAUUGAAGUUACCCAAAUCUUAUCACACCGCUCCCG